rnacentral:rRNA from 1 species
CCUACGGGUGGCAGCAGUGGGGAAUAUUGCACAAUGGGCGAAAGCCUGAUGCAGCAACGCCGCGUGAAGGAAGAAGGGUUUCGGCUUGUAAACUUCUAUCAACAGGGACGAAAGAAAUGACGGUACCUGAAUAAGAAGCCCCGGCUAACUACGUGCCAGCCGACGCGGUAAUACGUAGGGGGCAAGCGUUAUCCGGAAUUACUGGGUGUAAAGGGUGAGUAGGCGGCAUGGUAAGCCAGAUGUGAAAGCCCUGGGCUUAACCCGAGGAUUGCAUUUGAUACUAGCCAGCGAGAGUGCAGGAGAGGAAAGCGGAAUUCCUGGUGUAGCGGUGAAAUGCGUAGAUAGUAGGAAGAACACCAGUGGCGAAGGCAGCUUUCUGGACUGAAACUGACGCUGAGGCACGAAAGCGUGGGGAGCGAACAGGAUUAGAUACCCUAGUAGUC